UGGGGAAUUUUGGACAAUGGGGGAAACCCUGAUCCAGCCAUCCCGCGUGUGCGAUGAAGGCCUUCGGGUUGUAAAGCACUUUUGGCAGGAAAGAAACGUCAUGGGUUAAUACCCCGUGAAACUGACGGUACCUGCAGAAUAAGCACCGGCUAACUACGUGCCAGCAGCCGCGGUAAUACGUGGGGUGCAAGCGUUAAUCGGAAUUACUGGGCGUAAAGCGUGCGCAGGCGGUUCGGAAAGAAAGAUGUGAAAUCCCAGAGCUCAACUUUGGAACUGCAUUUUUAACUACCGGGCUAGAGUGUGUCAGAGGGAGGUGGAAUUCCGGGUGUAGCAGUGAAAUGCGUAGAUAUGCGGAGGAACACCGAUGGCGAAGGCAGCCUCCUGGGAUAACACUGACGCUCAUGCACGAAAGCGUGGGGAGCAAACAGG
rnacentral:rRNA from 1 species